rnacentral:lncRNA from 1 species
AACCAGGAUGUGGAGGUCCUGGGCUGGUGUGAUUACACGUGGUCUGCAGCUGUGUGGCCGGUUGGACGUACUGCCAAAUUCUCUAAAACGACAUUGGAGGCAGCUUAAAGUAGAGAAAUGAACAUUCAAUUCCCUGGCAACAGCUCUGGGGGACAUUCCUGCAGUCAGCAUGCCACUCUCCCGCAAAACUUGAGACAUCUGUGGCUUUAUGUUGUGUGACAAAACUGCACAUUUUAGAGUGGCCUUUUGUUGUCCCCAGCACAAGGUGCACCUGUGUAAUGAUCAUGCAUAUCAGCUUCUUGAUAUGCCACACCUGUCAGUUGGAUCGAUUAUCUUGGCAAAGGAGAAAUUCUCACAAACAGGGAUGUUAACAAAUUUGUGCACAACAAGAAAUACACUUUUUGUGUGUAUGGAAGGUUUCUGGGAUCUUUUAUUUCAGCUCAUGAAACAUGGGACUGACACUUUACAUGUUGCGUUUAUAUUUUUGUUCAGUAUAUAUCAGAACGUAAAUGAGAAGUGUUUUGUGCCAGGACCUCUGAAUGCUGUGUAAUCAGAUUCAGCUCAGCUCACACAGCGUAGAGAUAGCAGUGUGUUGAAAUGGAUUCUUAAUGAUGGACACAUCACAGAACUAGUGCCCAACCGUACUGUGUUCCUGUGACAGCCCACCAUGACACACACACACACACACACACACACACACACACACACACACACACACACACACACACACACACACACACACACACACACACACACACACACACACACACACACACACACACACACUUCUCCCAGGAGCUCUGGAGAAACGGAGAUUGCCUAUUUAAGGUGGAAAUCAAUAUCCUUUCUUUUCCCAUCUCUCCCCUCCCUCUCCUCCUCCUCCUUCUCCUCCUCCUGUCCUUUCAAUUCCCUGACCCUCUCCCUCCAUCUCUCUGUAUCUUUCUUCCUCUUUCUCCAAAGACACAUCUACCCCACAAGAGACUCUUCAUCAGCACUGGGGCUGGCACACACACAGAGAAACACACACAUAAACUGAACAACACACACCAAGCCAAGGUCUGAAAGAGAACACACUGCAUCCGCUCAGAAACACUCUUGUGAUCAUAGAAACUAUGAACAGAUUGCAAUGCCAUAUACACACUAACAUAAACAGGUUUGAUCAAAAAAAUCAUGCACCUAUACACACAGACACACGCACACUGCUCAUAUAAUGUCAGGGUCUUAUCCCCCAGCUCCUCCUCUCUCUCUCUCUCUCUCUCUCCCUAAGCGUAGCCACUCCUGUCCAUACCUAGCAGAGGCCCAUAGUGCCACCCAAUCUGCAGUGGGCCAGGGCUACAGGGGUGGGACUGGGGGGGACAGGGCAGUGGGUGGACGGCCACACACCUCUUUAUUUGGGCCCGCUAAAAAUACCCAGGGAGAUUGGGCAGUAUACAAGGGGCAGGGUGCAGGGGCUUGGGAAAGGUGGGGCUGGAAAGGUCUGGUGUGGUGUACGGUGGACUGGGAUGGGCUGGGGUAGGAUGGCUCUGGAACGCCAGAGUGAGGAGUCAAGGGUGAUGACAGGAAGAGAACAGAAAAGGAAAAGAGGAGGGGGAGUGGAGGAGGACAGGGUAGAGUAGUCAAUCGACAGAGAGGCGGAUUGGAACAACCGCCCCCCAGCCACUCCACCCUGUACAUCCCACUCACCCACCCCCUUUUGUCGGGACGCUCAGCACUUGACAGGCUAUUUUUUGCCACGCUUCACUAAAUAAGGCCAGGCAGCGUCGGGGUGCAGGCGGGCCGGUCAGGGGGGCGCAUGUCUGCCGUUCCUACCUGGGUAUAUAAGCCCCUGGACGGUGGGGGGUUACUCCGAUCACGCUGCCCUUCCAUUCUCUCCCAGAGAUGGUCCGUCGCGUUCUGAAGUCCACCUUUCCACUUUUCAUUUCAAAAUCAAUGCUUAUGUCUUCAUCCACUCCUCCAGAGCAUCGUCAGCUGACAGGGUAUUGUUUUAGAAAUGUUUUGCUUACUUUUUCUCUUCUCAACCCUUUUGCCUCUGAAGUCUCCCUGUGAUGGGAUCGACACAUUCAUUUUUUUGUAUCCGUACUUUGGAGGUUGAUACAGGCCCUGCGUUGCGGUGACCUCAGGAUGUGUGGCGCUGUGGAAUAUAGGGGGUCAGUGUCGAGAAGGAGAUGUGGGGAAAUGAUGGACAGCUGAGAGGUUAGAAAGGAAAAUGUAAUCUCUUCAAUGCGCCGUUGAGGCAAAACAUAGCCUCUUUCUUUCUUUCUUUCUUUCUUUCUUUCUUUCUUUCUUUCUUUCUUUCUUUCUUUCUUUCUUUCUUUCUUUCUUUCUUUCUUGCACUUAUCCUGUCAUCUAUUGUGUCUCCUCUGCUUUCCUCACUCACUCUCUGGCGCUCUCUCACUCAGUCAGUCUUUCUCUUUCUCUCUCCCUCUCCCUCCCUCCGUCCCUCUUCUCAAUUUGUCCUUCAGCUCUGUCAGCGCACAGUCCACAUUCUCUGAUCCCUCUAUUGCAGUUUCAUUAAGCUUCCUCAGUCAAACUUUGCAUGGUUAGGUGGGGAGGGAUGGGCAGCCGUGAGUUUGACGCAUUUGAACGCCACAUCAUCAGGUUAUAAAAAAUCCUCUUAUAAGAAAGGUUCAAGUCUUUUGAUUUUAUAUAGGGCUUUUUCUUUGUACUUGCCAUUGGUUCUUUUUGGUCUUUUUUUCCUCCUCUCAUCCUCUUCCUCCCAUCCGGUGUGAGAAAAGCAACAUCUCCCAUGACCCUCCUCUCCUCUCUGCAUCCCUAAACUCUCCGUCGCUGAUUCAGCUCCCAGGGAACAGACAGACACUCUGCCUGCAGCAGCCACACCGCACGGGCCGCCGCCCCGCCAGAUCACCCUGAUACCGGACUCUGAAGCUGUCCCACCUCCUCAGACCAUACUGUAGGACUUCACACCAAAAAUGCUUUGCUAAAGCUGGUAAAAUGGAACCAAAUCAACUGUUCAAUGGAUUUGGUCCCCUUCAACCAGCUGUAGCUGUGCAUUGAUCACUCCGGAUCACUGAAGAGUGGGACCAAGAAUGGUUGACAGACACACCAAGACUCCAUCUGACUCACUGACCUGAGAACAGGGCUCACCAGAGGGAAUCUGGCAGAGACACUGUGUCAGGAAUGGACACACUGAUCCAGGAGCAGAAAAGCCCAACUGAACCUUCAGACCACAACUGGGUAGGCUGCAAGUAGGAAUGAAUAUUUUGUACACCAGAAGGGAUAUAGAUUUUUUUGCAAUAAAAAAUAGUCCAGGUAAUUACUUAUUUAGUGAGUCAGCGUUUUUGCCAUAACUAUGUAUUGUAAUGUUUUACAGUCGAUAUUGUUGCUAUCCUUUGUAACUGACUGUACUGGAAGGGAAAGGAGAAGGGGGAUGUGGGGUUGGUAAAUAAGUGAAGCAAACGGUUGUCUCUCUCUCUUUGACUCUUAAUGCAGACGUCUGAUCAAUAAAAACCCAUCCUGAAGUCCAUAAACUGCUGAAGUGGUCUUUACUUUUAAGUGUGAUCUUACUGAGGAGUGUGGGGGGAGGAGAAAGAGGAGGGAGAUAGUGGGGGAAAGGAUACACUGGUGGUGGGGAAGGAUGGGUAUGAAAGAAAAGAGGGGAGAGGAUUAGAAGAAUGAACUAGAUGGUUGAUUACACUAAUAGAAAUAGGAGUCAAACACACCAUAGAAACAUGCUGAGAGGUUAAAUGUUGCUUCCCCAAUUAAACACAGGAGCACGACCACAAGACUUGACCUUGGAAAGGGAAAGGAACGUGGUUACCACAUGUCCACAUCUACAGUACCUAUCAGACUCGCUACAAACAUUCCUCUAUAAUUAUUCACAUAAUCUGCCUCCAUAGAGUCCAUCAGUAUGUCUCUCUGUGUCGCUGUCUGUUACCGUGGUAUGUUAACCUGUUGCCCCUGGUUAAAACCACACCCACCCACCCACUUCAUCUCCUCUUCUCCCCGCUCCUCUCCUCUAUAUCUCUGGGCCUGGAGGUGUCCUCUGUGUCUCCAUAUCUCUGGGCCUGUGGAGAUAUCCUCUCUCCGGGUCUCUAUAUCUCUGGGCAUGUGGAGCUGUCCUCUCCUCUGUGUCUCUAUAUUUCUCUGGACCUGUGGAUGUGUCCUCUCCUCUGUGUCUCUAUAUCUCUGGACCUGUGGAUGCGUCCUCUCUCUGUCUCUCUAUAUCUCUGGACCUGUGGAUGUGUUCUCUCCUCUGUCUCUAUAUCUCUGGACCUGUGGAUGCGUCCUCUCUCUGUCUCUCUAUAUCUCUGGACCUGUGGAUGCGUCUUCUCCUCUGUCUCUAUAUCUCUGGACCUGUGGAUGCGUCCUCUCUCUGUCUCUCUAUAUCUCUGGACCUGUGGAUGCAUCCUCUCUCUGUCUCUCUAUAUCUCUGGACCUGUGGAGGUGUCCUCUCCUCUGUGUCUCUAUAUCUCUGGACCUGUGGAUGUGUCCUCUCCUCUGUGUCUCUAUAUCUCUGGA